GCUUUCCUGUGACUUAAUUGGUAGAGCAUUGCACGCACAAUACAAAAGUCGUGGAUUCAAAUCCCAGAGAAAGCA